UCGACUUGAGCUCAGGCAAGAUUACCCGCUGAACUUAAGCAUAUCAAUAAGCGGAGGAAAAGAAACUAACAAGGAUUCCCUUAGUAACGGCGAGCGAAACGGGAAAAGCCCAACUUGGAAAAAUCUUCGGAGAAUUGUAGUCUAGAGAAGUGUCCUCUGCGGCGACCGGGCCCCAAGUUCCCUGGAAAGGGACGUCAGAGAGGGUGACAAUCCGUCGGGCCUUGGUUUCGCUGCCUCACGAGGUGCUUUCAAAGAGUCGGGUUGUUUGGGAAUGCAGCCCAAAGUAGGUGGUAAAUCCCAUCUAAGGCUAAAUAUUGGCGAGAGACCGAUAGCGAACAAGUACCGCGAGGGAAAGAUGAAAAGAACUUUGAAAAGAGAGUUAAAAAGUGCUUGAAAUUGUCGAGGGGGAAGCGAUUGGCAGCUGUGGGUGCGUCCAGGCUUAUGCGUCUUUAACGAGGCGUUGUAUGUGCUGGGUGCUGGUCAGCAUGGGUUGGCUUGGCAGGACAAAAGCAGAGGUUGUUACUCUGCCGAUGCUGCCGGGCCGACCAAGGUGUGAAGGCCGCUCUUGUCCUUCGGGAACUGCGGCCUCAAGAUGCUGGCAGAAGGCUUUCAAUCGGCCCGUCUUGAAACACGGACCAAGGAGUCUAGCAUGUAUGCGAGUUGGUGGGUGGAAAACCCAUGAGCGCAAGUAACCUGACUGGUGGGAUGGCUUCGGCCUGCACCAUCGACCGACCAUGAUCUUCUGUGAAAGGUUUGAGUACGAGCAUACCUGUUGGGACCCGAAAGAUGGUGAACUAUGCCUGAGCAGGGCGAAGCCAGGGGAAACUCUGGUGGAGGCUCGUAGAUGUGCUGACGUGCAAAUCGCUUUUCGGACUUGGGUAUAGGGGCGAAAGACUAAUCGAACCAUCUAGUAGCUGGUUCCCUCCGAAGUUUCCCCCAGGAUAGCUGGAGCUUUUUCAGUUUUAUCGGGUAAAGCUAAUGAUUAGAGGUUCGGGGGAUGAAACAUCUUCCACCUAUUCUCAAACUUUAAAUAGGUAAGACGUAUGGGUUGCUUAAUUGAACCCAUGCAUUCAAUGAGAGCUCCAAGUGGGCCAUUUUUGGUAAGCAGAACUGGCGAUGCGGGAUGAACCGAUAGUCGAGUUAAGGCGCCGGACUACGCGCUAACCUAGAUCCCACAAAGGGUGUUGAUUGAUACAGACAGCAGGACGGUGGUCAUGGAAGUCGAAAUCCGCUAAGGAGUGUGUAACAACUCACCUGCCGAAUCAAUUAGCCCCGAAAAUGGAUSSSSSUGAAGCGCGUGGCCUAUACUCGGCCAUGGAGACAAGUGCGAGGUCUCCAUGAGUAGGAGGGCGUGGGUGUCGCUGYGCAGCCUGAGGCGUGAGCCUGGGUGAAGCGGCANCUAGUGCAGAUCUUGGUGGUAGUAGCAAAUAUUCAAAUGASAACUUU
rnacentral:rRNA from 1 species